CAAAAACUACAUGCACGCCAAAUUGAAUAAGUAUUUCUCUACUUUGUGUGUAGGCUCCAAAAAAGCUUUAGCCAAGUUCAUAAGUUCAAGAUUUACGGCAAGGAUUUACUACAGUUAAUCAGGAAGCUAAAGCAUUAUUAAGAAGAUACAGAUAUCGUACAGGAUCCAUAAGAAACUAAUAGAAAGCAUAUGAAAGUUGCUGGAGGUAGAGGUAGCAGAUGCAGCUAAGGGGAGGAACAUGAAGAGAUUUUUGUUUUUUUAUGUUGUAGUUUCGUUUUACUUUUAUGAAUUGUACAAUAUAUUUUAGAAAUAUAUAGUAUAUUUGAAGUUUUAUAUGAAUUGUACAAUAUAUUUUGAGUUA